UGCCAGGAUGAUGGAAAGGCUGAGGAA
rnacentral:piRNA from 1 species